CUCGACUAUUUUGUAAUUCGGCGACUAAGUGGAUAUUGCUCUGUUCUGUUCGGCCUUUCUUCUCGAUACGGCCUGUUUCGCCACCGCCGCCGCCUAGGUCAUGUCCUACCGCCGCCGGCUACCAUGGACUGGAUAUCGGCGCUGCGGGAGUCGGUGUCGUUCGAGGGGUUCCUAUCCGAGCCAGUCCAGUGGUAUACCAUGGCACAUGUCUGCUGGCACCGACGGCUACCAUGGCGCAUGUCCAAUAGCCGUACAGGUCAAUUUUUCUGCCGGCUGCAGCAGGAUCUGCCACCUCCAACUGCGAUGUUGCGUGCAUUAGCAGUUCUGGACCAAUCUAGAGUUGUACGCCAUUCUUGCCCAUGGCUCGUUCGUCGGAAGUGCAACACAUAUGGGAGGAGCCGAGCUCAUAUGGGAUGGUGGAGUACAUGUUUUUGUAUGGCUUGUGGGUUGCUGGUCUAGUGGCAUCUAACUUUCUGUUGUACCGGUUGUGUCACAGGAAUGGAAAGCUUACAUUGUGCUAACUUGAACUGAAUCACCUAAGGUGUGCAUUUGCGCUGACCAAUGGGAGCGUACAUGCUGCAAACUGCAUGGCUCGCAGCUCUCAAGUUCAGUUAGUUGUUAGUCUGCUGAUAAGCCACGACCAACUUAAUGGUUCGUUCUAGUACUGGGCAUUGUCAUGGUCAGCUUUGGUUCUAAUUCUGUAAUUGUGCUCAGAGUGUAGUGCAUCUUGUAGUAGCUGAAUCUGUAACUAGCCUUGGUGGCCAUGUAAUUCAGCUGGAUCUAGUAUGUUCUCGCCCUAGUACUCGUGCUAACUAGUGUCAAAAAACAUCUUACAUUAUGGGACGGAGGGAGUAAUUAUCUAUGAAAGUUUCAGUUUCUUGACCUAA